UGACACUAUAUAUGCAAAAGGUGGAGGCAGAGACACAUGGACAAGAAAGAGGGUGAGGUGGAGGAAGGAGAGAAAAGAGAAAGAAAAAGACAGAAUGGUUAAUCCAGUAAGCAAAACAAUCAGUAAAUAUCCACAUUAGCGUCAAAUAGCCCAGCUUUCCCCAAGUGUGCUGCUGAACUGUCAGCACUGUGUGAGCAAAUUUCCCAUUGUCUUCUUGUCCUUUAUCUGCCCUGGAUGGACAGACUCCCUUAUCACACACAUGCUUCACUGCAUCUACCCCCCUCCCACCCCCCCAUUACCUUUUCUCACUGCUCAUUCUAAGUGUAGUGCUUGACCAACGAGAUUAACUCUCCAACCAAGGACAUUAGGAGCUGCUACAACCUACUUCUGUCUUCCUUAGGGACAACAUGUCUAGCCUCUCACCAUUCUAGCAUCCCAUGUGCUACUAGCACCAUCUAUGGGUCAGCCAAAUAAUUCUCCCACCCAGGGUCAUGAACUUAGGCUGACUUGUCUCACUGGAACCUGUCACGAAAUGAAAACAAUGAAAGUGGUUACUAAUUUUUACUGAGAGCAGUGAUAUGUGUUUGCAGUCUCCUAUUCAGUCUUGUACCAUCCACAAGACAGAAUUAAAAUCAUUGUUCCAUUUUUACAAGUGAAGCCAAAGGUCUAAGACAGAUAAUGUGCCAGACAAAUAAUCACUAAUUGGCAAUUCACACCCCUCCUUCUCUUUUACACAUUCCUAACUUCCUUAUUCCUUUCUUGUCCUAAUUCUUGUCUAGUUCCAUGAAGUAGAAUUCUCUCCUCCAUUUUCUUCCUGAAUCAAAACUAACCCCUAAUUACACAGGCAUUAAAGGAGUACAGGUCCCGGCAUGAAGGCCUUUAGUGGCCUCUUGAAGGCCUUUAGUGGCAUCUGCCAUUCCAGCUCCUAAGCAUCCACUGUGUUCUACUCACUUCAUAUGCUGCUCCUCAUGCGCUUCUGCCUCUUCUGUUUCUAUGGCCACUUUUGCUCAAGUGCUAAUAUUUAAGACAAAGCCUCAUUUAAUCUAUGAUUUAAAAUGUCUGUUGCAAUAACUGGAUAAAACAAGGUAACACUUAUCUAUCACUGUAUACUACAGGUAUGCUCUAUUUUGGACAAAAUGGAUGUUUGUAGGCUAUCCCAGAAUAUUAUUUUCAUGAAAGAUACAUUCCAAAUUUCAGAAAUUGAAUCUGGUCAUGACCCAGAGAGUCCUACUUCUUUCUAAGUUAAUGACUAUUUACACUGGCCGCUCGAUACACAACGCAUGGUGAGUAAACUGGUAGUCCUAGAGAGAAGAGAAAACAUGCUCAUUGGUAAACAACAGCAUGCCUGAAGGUCCUGGUGAGUACCAAGUGCAUGCUGCAUGCUUUUACAUUGAGCUGAAGAUGAUAAAAUGAUGUGGAUGCAUUUUUUUUUUGGGAUGCAUUUAAAGCAUUCAGUGAUUUUAUGAUGGUUCAAUGUAUAGUUUUCAGGCUAUAGAGCUUUUUUUUUUUUUUCCUCCCUACACUGGGCUAAAAUUUGACUGUUGGGAUAAGACAAACAUUUUUACUUUGGGUUAGUUUAUAAAACAAUUGGCUUUUACAAAUAUGUACACCAAAAUAUUGGUGUAGAGAAAUGAGUGGUUUUGCUUUUACCUGCAAAACCUUAUGCUAGAGCAGCUUAAGCCCAGGCCCGCGGGUGGGGCCCAAAGCAGGCUGGGUAGGCCUGAAGGCUCGGUCCCACUCUAGAGCGCUUCAAGGUCUUCUGGGAACCUACAAAUAUUCAGCCCACUCUUAGGUAGGCCUAGGGGUAACCUGCCUUUCCCGAGGGCUGACCUUCUAAGUUCUAAAUUGCCAUUGCUCCUAGUGAAACACACUACGGAAGCUUCCUUACUAAACAAAGAACAGAGCCCUGCUUAUCUAAGUGCCCAGGUUUUGGGUGACUGACAGGGCAGAAGGCCAAUAGGAGCUCUCUGAAGCAUCUGCCUCCCUAAUCCCCCACCUCACUGUUUCCCUAUCAUCUUUCUUUAUUCCUAAAGUUAGAAAGGCUGGCUUUGUGGGGAUUUGCCUUUCUUCCCGGGGGACAGACUGACACCUUCUUAACUGCCUCCUGCUGAGAAACAGCAUAGGUGUUAUACUUUGAGUUUGGAAGGACUGUGUGCACAGUCCCUCUUUGCACUAGGACUUGACUGUUUCAAAUGUUCCCUGAAUUAAAGAGAUACUGUCUGGUCUUGCCGUGCAAGUUGACUUACUUCACUAACUGCUAUGGAAAAGAACUGACUUAAAAGAUACACUUUAUGGUGGUUGUGGCCCACUUGUUAAGCUGGGAGAGGUUGGGUCCAGCCUGGAAACUCAGUCAAAUCUAAUUUUGGUCAUAACGUUGCUGACUGUGGCCUCACAGCAGUCCUUACCCCAGGUCCUGAAAGAGCCUUUCCUGAGCAUGCUGCUGUCCCUGCAGAAAUGUGAGGAUGUGAUCUAUUCUCUCAUGUCCCAGUGCAUCACAGCUAAGGUUAAGGUGAUAUCACCCACUUCCCGUUCACAGAAAACCCAUUCUCUUUCUCUCAUUCCCAGAGGCCUUUCCACCAGGUUGGUCUUUCUCUCCAAGCUAUUUUCUGAGUACCAUGACUACUUCAGUAGCCAUCCUGAUAACCUGUCAAAACCUACAUUUCCUACCUCAUGACCUUGCUCUCACCCUUAUCAUUCCUUCCUUGGGCUGUCAGCCCUGGACCUGUUUCUUAAGACAAGCUCAAGCACCCUGUUUCCCUGGCCUCAUUCCCUACCCUUCUGGUGCAUUUGACUAUAACUAUUAUCAUAACUCUCUCUAGAGUUGAGCAGAGGACACUCAUUGGGAUCUAUUGAGUUUCCUUUCUCUUAGGUGAACCUUCAGUAGCUUCCAUUUGGGAUUAUAAUUACUAUAUCACCAGCAUCUUCAACUUCCUCAUCCAUUUGUCAUUCUCUCUGAGCAACUUGGCAGCAAUUCAACCUGGACAAACUCAACUGUUUUCUCUAUGCCUUCACUUACACCAUCAAUUUAUGCUCGGACCCAAAUGUUCAAAGCUCUACCCGCUUCCUUCCCUCUCCUAGGAUUACAGCACUUGUGUAUUCCCGCACACCCACCUUUCUCCUAUAUUUCUCUGGUUAGUUUGCUAUCAUGCUCUGCUCCAGUUACCAGGACCAACACACUCUCUCUUCCCCUCUCCCUCUCUCUGCCUUCCUCUCUCCCUCCCUCACAUAUCGCUUUUCUUAUUUCUCUCUGUUUCUUUCUUAACAUUCCUUUUUGCAUGUGUAUAUGUGUGGGAGCAUAUUCGUGUUUGUGGAUACGUGGGCGUGCAUGUAGAAGUCAAAGGUUGACAUGAUUUUUUUUUAUUCCUAAAAAGGUUUAUUAUGUAUGUGUUUCUGCCUGCAUGAAUUUAUGUGCAUCAUGUGUGUGCAGGUGUCUGAGAAGGCCACAGGCCACUGAAGCCUCUGGAGCUAGAGCUGCAGAUGGCUGUGAGCUGCAUGAGGUGGAUACUGGGAGCUGAACCCAGGUCCUCUGCAAGAGCAGCAAGUGCUCUGAAUUGUUGAGUCAUCUCUCUAGCCCCCAAAUCUUUCCUUGCUUUAACUUAAUUUUUAAAAGUCUAUUAUGUGUAUGUGUGUUUUGCUAUGUGUUUGUCUGUGUACUGCAUAUUUGCCUGGUGUUCAGACAGGCCAGAAGAGGGCACUGGAUUCCGAGACAAAAGUUAUGGUAGUUAUGGACAACUGCCAUGUAGGUGUAGGGACUAGAACCCAGAUCUUCUGGGAAAGCAGAGCUACCAUGGAGCCAUUUCUGUGGCUUCCCUGAGUGCCUUGCCUGAUUACCCUUCACGUAGUCUAGCUAGCGUGUUUGCCACUGGGAUCCUCUAUCUUUACCUCUUGAGCUCUGUUUACAGGUAGACCACCUGACAUUUACAGACCGAUGGGGAUCCAACAGCAGUCCUCACAGCUGUAUGACAAAUGCUUUAUCCACUGAGCCACCUCUCCAACCACAGUUAUCAUGUUCUGCAUUGUAAAGCCACCUUGUUCUCAACAGAUGAUGUCAUCAUCUACUUCUGAGACAGAAGCUGUCUGACAGGAACUCCCUCAACUUUCCUCUGCUAUCCUGUGCACCUGCUGACACCCACGUCUCUCCCACCAUAUCAUCUUUUAGUGACAGGGUCCAUCUCUCCACUCAGCAAUAAACACCAACUCAACAGAAACUACUCACAAGUUAUAUUCUUGGGUCUUCUGGCCUAUUGAGCAAGCUCCUUGUUGGAUGGACUCAUCAUACCGCAUUCCUUUCUUGGUAACAGCCAUUGUCUUCUAUCUUCUUCCCUGAAGACCAUGGCUUAGCUCGAAAGUACACAGUCUACUUUGUUCCUCAUUGUACUCCAGUGCCUGGUACAGCCCACAGUAUGCCAAAGAAAUGAAGCAAACUAGACAGUUCACUCUGGGACAGUUUUGGGACUAACCUUUGGCACUGAUGCUAGAUUGCUUUAGAGCACUGCUGUUUUGCCCACUUCCCUUUGUGCGUUGAUAUCCAAGUUCAUCUGGCCCCAAAGUCCCCAUGUUCCACCAUUCCCUUCUUUUUGGUACAAACUGUAGUCUUCAGCCCAACCUCGCCCCACAAGUGCUCUAAGUGCUUUGAUGACAAGGAGAUCCUGAUUUUGCUUAUGUGCUGUAUCUAUAGCUGCUUUCAGCUAUAACUGAGAACGGAGAUGCAGCGUAGGAACCAGAGGGCCACAAAGCCUCAAAUAUUUCCUGUCUGGGCCUUUAAGUGUUGCCCUUGGUACAAGCAUAGUAGGCACUUACUGGGCACUAUGGGGGAAGUCAAGCAGGUGUGUCAUGGUGACAAAGGGGUGGUUCAGAGUUUCAAUGGGAGUGACUCUCUUAUCAGCAUCGAUGGUCAGCAUCUUCUUUAACAGGUCAAUGAACUCCCGUCGGUCUGCCUUCUCUACUAACAUGUCACUCCCUUCCAAAUCUGUUGUCAUGUUCACCUGGAAGUAAGCGGGGACAGCUACCUGGCUCCAAGCAGACUGUUCCCAGAGGAUCCUCCUUUCACAUCAGGCCACCUGUUUCCAAGGGGAUCUUCCUGUAAACUUGCUUCCGUGAGGACCCUGCUCUUACACUUGCCUACCUGUUUCUACAAGAUGAGAGAUGUGGUAUGUGCCAACACCACCCACCUACUUCUACUAAACCAUCUGAUUCCAGUAUUGACUUACUUAGAACUGCAAGUGUUCUUUAGUCUCCUCACAUUUUCAAGUGAGUACUGAGAUAAUGUUUUCCUGUGUGGGGUCACCUGCUUAGUAAACCCUACCCAGAUGACCUUCUGGUGAGAAUAUCCAUUCAGCAUGCUGUUUGUGCACUGUGAAUAUCUGCCAUGUGACCUGGUCACCUGCAGCUUCGCAGAUGGUCUUCACUUGUUGAGUCUUCUGUAUCCAGCUAUAAGCUCUUCUAACUAGUAAAAAGGAUCUCUCUCUCUUUCCCUCUCUCUCUCUCUCUCUCUCUCUCUCGCCUUCCACCCCCACCCUGUGUGUGUGUGUGUGUGUGUGUGUGUGUGUGUGUCUGUGCAUGAGUGUAUGUGUGUGUGUAUAAAAUCCCAGGCCUGUCCAGAUGGUGCAAUAGGCUCUGGGGAUGGGCAGUUUCUUGGUAGCCAGAAGCCAGUUUCUAGAAGGAUCAGUAAUUACAUACACUAAAAACUAUAUCCUAGAAAAGAUGUUAUGGUAAGCAUAUUUUUGUAGAUUGCCAUUUUUACAAUAAUGUCAUGGCAUCCCUGAAAAGCAGUGAUUUUGUUUUUUAAUCUUCCCUCCUUUAGGGGGAAAAAAAAAUCAAAAUGAGGAAAAAAACCAACAACAAUAGAAAAAAAGGACAAAACAAAAAUAAACAAAGACAGAGAGUCUAGAGUCGGUAGGAUGCCAGGCUGUUCUCUAGUCCCAGCCACCAUUCAACUUUAGGUCUUCAAGAGACUUGAAAAGGCAGGACUGGCACGGUGUGUGUCCUCUAAAACAGAAAUGCAAGAAUGGCGAGUGUUGAGAUCCACUGAAGGAUCAUCUUCUCAAGAGCCAAAGGCCGGGAGCAAAUGUUAGUUUACAUGUUGGCAAAUACCAUCUUCUUCCUUAAGGUUUUAACUGAGCAGAUAAAGCAGCAUGGAGCAACUGUCCUCCUGAGGAGAUCCUCACCUGGGGUAGGUAAGGAACACAGAUAAGGACGUCAUACAUGGCCACCGCCACUUGUAAAGUGCCACAAAAAUACCAUAAUAGACCUUAUUUUUGGUGAUCUUGCAUGUAAUUAUUGACCAACCCCUUCUAGUGCACAUGUGUGUGCUCACAUAAAACAUGUUAGAAAAGGUAGCAAACAACUUCCUAAUAAAAACUAAGACUAAAGCUUAGGAAAACCAAUAUAUACAAAAGCUAAAAUGCAAGCAUCACACAGAUGUGUUUCCCUCAAGUCUUUAAAUAUACAGCUAUAAUCACAGCAUUUGUACGGGUUUUCGGUUUUAUGUGAUAGCCUGCACUUAUUUUUGCUAGUCUUUACACUCUCAAUCCAGAGCCUAUCAAUUGUUAACAUCUUAAUUUUCUAACUUUAUCUGUCAAUUGCUGUUUGCCUUCAACAUUCAAUUUUUACUAAAAAUAGAAGAAAUUAUAUAUACCCACAUUUUUCUGUUUUCCUUUCUUUUCUUUUCUCUUUCUUUUCUUCUUUAUUUCUUGACUUUUUCUUUCUUUCUUUCUUUCUUUCUUUCUUUCUUUCUUUCUUUCUUUCUUUCUUUCUUUAAGAUAGGGGUCAUCCUCUUUGUAGCCCUGGCUGUCCUGGAACUCACUUUGUAGACCAAGCUGGCCUUGAACUCAAAAGAUUUGCCUGCCUCUGCUAGGAUUAAAGGUAUAUGCCACCACUACCCAGAUAUUCACAUGGUUUAAGAAAUUUAUAAUAUUUACAGUGUUAUGAGAUUAUCAGGUAAAAUGGCACAAACUACUUACAGCUGCCAGUAAGAUUUGCUGAUCUGACUUUUACAAGGAUCACAUUAUUUUAAAAUCAAUUUAACAAUUUUUGAUCUACUCCUUGUGACAACUAGUCAAACUGAAAAGUGACACUAAACUGUGCUCAGUCACUGCUUUAGGAUGUUUAGAUAGUGGCUGAUGCUUCAGAAACAGCCUUGACUUAAUGGCUUUUGUAAUUAGGAGACAAAGAAUGAGCUGUUUUAAAAACGAAUUGCCAGAUUCCUAGGAAAGCCUUUAUUCAUGUAUAUAACACCCAAAACAUAUUAGUUAGCUUCCUCACACUAGAACAACCUAGUUUCAUAGGUAGCAAGUAGUGGACAUACUGUAUUUUACUUGGAAUUAUCUUUUAGGUGAGAGUGAAGAGACCAUUUAUUAACAAGUGACAAAUAUUAAUUAGAAUCAACAGUAUCAUACAAUAAUAGAUAUGCAAACCAAAGAAGUUUGAUUAAUGUGCAAUAUUGGAAACAGUCAUGAAUAACAGUUAAACAGUUAUUUAACUGGGUGUCUAGUCUGACAUUCUUUACUUCAAGUUCUGUUAAAUAACUUAAGACUGAUUAGAAGAAAUUAACAAAUAAAAUCAAUCCUAUUAGAGUUUAAUAUUACUCAUUUUGUGAUGAAAAGUUACACAAAUAUUAGUCAGAGCUGCUUGAACUGAAUGGUACUAAUUAUUAAAACUGUGAACCAUAUAUUUUAAUACUGCACCAUGCACAAUGAAUAUAUACAAUGAAAUCUUUCUUAAAACUACAUGUUGGCUAUUCUAUUUAGUUGAAAUAAAACCCUGCUUUGUAUCCACAUGGUUAAGGUAAAAAGGCCAAUGAAUGGAUUUUAUUUUACUUUUCUAAACACAGCCACUUAUAGGGUUGGCCUUUGUCUAUGGGCCUUUCAAAUGUCAAUGGUAUUUUAAAAAUAAUCAAAUAACCGCAGAAGAAUUCAUGCUACUGCACUGCUUCAACCUGUGCCUUAUGUAAUGCAGUCAAUUUACUGAAGGAAGGGCCAGUUCAAUUUUCCUAUCAAAACCAAAAAAAAAAAAAAACCAAUGACAUGGUCUUACAAAGCUCUUUCUCUGAGUUAAUCUCUUUAGCCCACAACUACCUUCUCAGAAUUCAGGGCUUAUGAUUCCAGUGGAGAGUGGCCUUUCCAGAAGGAUCAUGGAACCUUCUUUCCUUCCAGAAGCCAAGCUCAGCCCUGUUGGCCAGGGGGCUGAUGUGUAUACAGCCUGCUCUUAGCCAUUUCAAAGGUUGACAUAAACAGAAGCCACUCUCUCACUCUGAGGAGUGAUCUGGCAGGGGAGAUAAACCAGGAAGGGAGAUAAGCAUAUUGUGACUGUACAUGAGUAAAGACAGAGGUGACAUUUUAAUAAGACUAUUCUUCUUUGGUACACUCAGAGAUCAUAAAACAACAACUUAAAUUUAGCCUUUAAAGAUCCAUAUGUGGAUGGGAAAUGAGAGUGAAAUAAAUUUUACACAAAUUAUCUGUUGUGCAUGGCUUUCACAUGGACGACACCUGGCUGACCAUAUGAGCACAUAAAUGCAGAGGGAAAUUCCUGUCUCACUGCACUGUUUCCUUACAAUAAUACUGUUGCAGUAGACGGAAAGUGAUGGAAUAAGAGUACUGAAGCCCAGUGUAAUCAAAUGUAUGUGCGCUCGUACACGCACGCGCACACACACACACACCCCUAUGACACAAUGCUAAUAGAAAUAAAAGUCUACAAACAUUAGUGUGUUAGAGGACUUGCUACUGAUGCCAGUCAUAUGAAGGUGCGAUCAAGCACAGGUGCACACACUGCCAGGUGGCAGCAGUGGUCCACACCUUUAAUCCCAGCACUCAGGAGGCAGAGGCUGCUGAGGUCAGCCUGGUUCCAGGACAGCUAGGGCUACACAGAGAAACCCUGCUUCGUGGGCUGGGAGAAGCACCUACACCUACAUCCAAAGACAAUAGCUUUAUCUCCUUCCUGGGCCACCCUAUUUUUAAUGUUUUAUUUGCAGAGAUGCCAAGACAGCCAAGUGGAGCACAAUGAACAGGCUAACUGUAUUCUUUCCUAGGUCUACAAGAGGGUUUGGCUGAAACAUCUCUUAAAUUGCUUUCAGACAUUUGGCAAAGUGAGAACUGAUACAACAAAAGCUAGACAUUUCCCUCUCUCCCUAUUGGUUUGAGAGGUUGGCUUCGAAGGCUGCUUCACCACACAAUGAAUGCUAUACACUGCUAGCUGAGGGCUGUAGACCUGUGAAGUUCCUCCAAAUCUGCACUCCAAGUUAAGAACACAAAUGUCCUGCUCAGCUAUUCAUGAAGCACAAGAAACAUCAUGCAAUUGUUGACCACUGCUGUUGUCUGCAGCAAGGAGCAUCUGGCUGCCACAUCUGCAUUCCUGAUAUUCAGAACAGAGUCGUUAAGGCUGAGUCUAAGUAUCUUUUAGUUUGGAGUACAACUUGAAAAAUAAAACUUUUUAAAACCAUAGCUUGAAAUAAUGAACUGAAAGAGGGAUUUUUCUCUAGAAAAAAAUUAAUAGAUUUUUAUAAUACUUGAGAACAAAGCAUUACAACAAGCAUUCAGCAAACGGACCCUGGCUUCUCAAACAGUAGCAUGAGAUAUAAAGUAAGCAUCAGAAUCCUAGCACUCUGGAGGCAGAGCAGGCGGAUCUCUGAGUUCAAGGCCAGCCUGGUCUACAGAGCAAGUUCCAGGACAGCCAGGGCUGCACAGAAAAACCCUGUCUUGAAAAACCAAAAACACAAAAACAAAACAAAACAAAACAAAACAAAACAAAAAAAGAACAAGAAGAAGAAGAAAAUUUAAAAUAGUAAUUAUGCCACAGACAGGUUUCCAGAAAACAUCACUGAUAAACUCUGUAUUUACAGAUUUACUCUAACAGAACUGUUAACAUGACAUUUUCUCAAACAAUGGUGAUUGCCCUGCACUGAUCUGUAUGCCAGACUCUAUAAAUACUGCUGAAUGUAGAUCAGAAAAUUAAAGUUGUUAAAAACUAUCUAUAUAAUCUGUGCCUAUUCCAGGACUACAGCUGAUAAUAAAGUUUUAAGGAAGUGACCAGUGCAUUUAUUGGAAAUAAUCAUAAGCAAAAUCUAGGCAUGGAAUGCUAUCAUUCACAUGGAAACAUAAAGAACUGCUAGCUACUGCCAUUUGUGUACUCUGUGGUUUGUGUACAUCCAAGGUUUAUUAGAGUGGUCUCGAUUUUUAUUAAUUUACUUACAUUUUAAGUUACAUUUAAUCAUUUACUCUGUGUGUGUGUGUAAGCAUGCACAAGAAGAGGUGCAUAAUACUACAGUGCAGAUGUGGAGGUCAGAAGAUAACUUAUAAAAGUCAGUUCUCUCCUUUCUCCAUGUGGGUCCCAGGGAUUUAACUCAUGUCCUCAGACAUGGCAACAAAUCCUUUACCUGCUGAGCCAUGCCACUGGCUCCUUGGUUAAUUUCUUCUAGUUUGUGUCUAUAGUUUAUCUAUUCAUUCACUCAUUCAAGAUUCCCCUAAUAAAGCCAGGCGUGGUGGUGCACGCCUUUAAUCCCAGCACUUGGGAGGCAGAGGCAGGCGGAUUUCUGAGUUCGAGGCCAGCCUGGUCUACAGAGUGAGUUCCAGGACAGCCAGGGCUACACAGAGAAACCCUGUCUCAAAAAAACAAAAAAAACAGAAAAAAAAAAAAGAUUCCCCUAGUAGAUAUGAUGUGUGGUAUGCAUUGAUUUAGAUACUAGAGACAGUAUAGAGCAUAGAGAGAAAGGAGUGCACUCUCUUACCCUCAUGGAAUCUACAUUCCAACACGAGCACUUAUAGACUUGAUUCCUAGUUUACUAAUUUAAAAAUCAAAUGCUGUUUUUAUUUAAGUUGGCAUGAAAUUAUAAAGUAUCUUGGGUAUGAAACACCUGUCAAGAUUAUAAAAACUGGAGAAAUUCUAAAUAUAUUAACCAAGAACUGAAAGAAAGAAAGAAAGAAAGAAAGAAAGAAAGAAAGAAAGAAAGAAAGAAAGAAAGAAAAAGAAAGGAAGGAAGGAAGGAAGAAGGAGAGAGAAAGGAAGGAAGAAGGAAGGAAAGAAAGAACAAACAAAAGAAAGAAAGAAAGAAAGAAAGAAAGGAAGGAAGGAAGGAAGGAAGAAAGAAAGAGAAGAGAGAAAGGAAGGAAGAGGGAAGGAAGGAAAGAAAGAACAAAAGAACGAAAGGAAGAAAGAAGAAGAGAAAGAGAAAGAGAGAAAGAAAGGAAAGGAGAAAAGCAAAAGUCAAUUUUUGCAGACUUCAGAAUGGGAGCAUUUCAACAGACAUUAAAAGUAACAUUUUUUAUUAACUUUGAUGAUUAAGAUCAGUAAACCAGAAUCACAAUUUAUUUAACAUUGUGAACUGUCUUCAACUUGACCACCCAUUUUCAAGUUAAAUCAUAAAGAAUUUAUACUUUUACUGUUCUGACCAUGGUAUGAUUGAGUGUUCUGUAAUUUACUCAGUGUCCUUGCAAAACAAUAAUAAGUUGGAACAAAGCCCACAGGCAAAAAUAAGGUUUAACACUGCUUCAAUCAUUAAAACAAAUAUAUUAAUGGCAAUUUGUUAGAACAGGAAGUCCCAGUGAUUAGACCCAAGAUGACCUAAAAAGUGAUGUUUGAAACUUUUUUUUUCCCUGAGAAAAAGGGGGGAACCAUCCUAAGUUAUACCUGAAACCCACCUGCUCUGGAGCCCAUGGGGAAAAGAACAUAGACAGUGCACUGAGCAUGAGCAGAAAGAUGCUGGCUGCAAACAAAGUCAAGGGAGUUGGCUGGUAACAUGAAAGUCAUGGUGAUACUGGUAAUGGUGUCUUGCUCUUUUUCGUGCUCUGCCCAUCUCCUCUUCUUCAGAGUAAACCAGGUUUUCUGGGAAAAGAGGUUCUGCCACCAUCUCCACUCCUAGCUCCCCUGUCAUCUUCCACUGCUUUUGUAAGACUAAGUGGAGAAAGCAUGGGGGUUGAAGAAGCUCCUGGAGACUGAGGUCUGGGACAGGACAUGUGUGAGGGUCUCUGUGGCUGGGUGGACCUGUUACCAAGUGCGUCUGCUUCCUGUGGGACCUUCCACAUAUGGGGCCUCCAGUGUGGCAGGGAGUUUGGGGAAGCCUGGCUUUUUCUGAUUUAUUUCAUUUCUGUUGUUUCUAGGAAGUUGCCAGAAAGGGGCUAAAAACAUGCUGACUUUUGGUUUGGUGAUCUUAAGCGUAAAUAGAAUAGAGAAGUUAAGAUUAAUUUAUUUGAACAUAAUAUGGAUAAUAAUGAUGCCAAUAACUAAAUUAACGUGGCAUGUUACAGUUUUAUUGGGUCUUCCUCUGCUUUAGAUACUCAUACCUAUUGGAGAUGUCCUCUUUUUUUUUUUUUUUUUUUUUUUUUAAAUCUAAAAUGAGGCCAGAUUCCAAACAACUAAUGCAGGAAAUCAAAUGCUUGGGUCUUUUCAAUCUUUAAUUUUGGGGGCUGGAGUAUGUGCAUAGAUAUGAGCACACAUGUGGAAAUCAGAGGCUUACACUGGAUAUUUUCCUCUAUCAUUCCCCACUUUUUUUUUCUUUUCUUUUCUUUCUUUUUUGAGACAGAAUCUCUUCAGUGAACCUGGAACUCAAUGAUCUAGCCAUCCUGGCUGGCCAGAAAGUUCUAGAGAUUCACCUGUCUCCAAAGUCCUAGUGCUAGGUUACAGGUGUGUCCGCUGUACCUGGCUUUUACAUGGGUGCUAGGAAUCCUGACUGGUGUGGCAUGUACUGUGCCCACUGAACCAUCUCUAAAGCCCCAAUUUUUUAUUUCUUUAAACAGUAAGAAAAGUUAAACCCGAUCCACCCCAUAAUCAGCAUCCAAACGCUGACACCAUUGCAUACACUAGCAAGAUUUUAUCGAAAGGACCCAGAUGUAGGUGUCUCUUGUGAGACUAUGCCGGGGCCUAGCAAACACAGAAGUGGAUGCUCACAGUCAGCUAAUGGAUGGAUCACAGGGCUCCCAAUGGAGGAGCUAGAGAAAGUACCCAAGGAGCUAAAGGGAUCUGCAACCCUAUAGGUGGAACAACAUUAUGAACUAACCAGUACCCCGGAGCUCUUGACUCUAGCUGCAUAUGUACCAAAAGAUGGCCUAGUCGGCCAUCACUGGAAAGAGAGGUCCAUUGGACACGCAAACUUUAUAUGCCCCAGUACAGGGGAACGCCAGGGCCAAAAAGGGGAAGUGGGUGGGUAGGGGAGUGAGGGUGGGUGGGUAUAGGGGACUUUUGGUAUAGCAUUGGAAAUGUAAAUGAGCUAAAUACCUAAUAAAAAAUGGAAAAAAAAAAGAAAAGUUAAACCCUUGUCUAUAUGGUAUUGCCUAGGUGGGUUAAGGGAAGAGAGAGCCCUAAGAACCGGCACAGUCCUGGGGCAGGAUGAGCCUGGGAUAGCAGGAGUUUAGAGAAAGCACUGCCAAAGGAUUUCAGAGGCGAAACUGCACAAGCUACAAGAAGAUGAAAGAAGAAUGGACUCCAGGCAGAAUGGUUCUAGUCAGGCUUAAGAAGCAAACUUGGUGUACCAACAUUGGUUUUCUGGAACAAAUGGAAGAAAAAUAAGCACAGCCAUAAUAAUCAAUUAAUCUUCUGUUUUAAACUUCAGUUGCUAGAGCUAAUUAACUAUUUCACUGAGAUUUUUAACAUUUAAAACCACUAAAGAAUAUUACUAAACAAAACUCUAUUUGCAUUCCUGAAACUUCUAUAUUUCACAGCCCUUAGACAUGGUCUCGGGGUUCCAGCCCCAGCCCUCUACUUCCUGCCACCCAGACUGGCUCCCCACUGAACAGCUGUCUACUGACCAGAUUUCAGAGCCAGGAUGCUUCAGCUUCUGCUUCUAUCAGUCUUGAAACCAACACUGGGAUAAACGCUCUCAUCUUGAGUGUAUUUAUCCUGUGUCUAAUUUUAGUUUUAUUGUAUCAAAAUGACUGACAUGGGUUUAACUGCUUUGUCUGAUAGAUGUUGGUGCAUCAGACUGACAGAUGCUCACUCUUACUGUUAUUAGCCUGAUGUAUUCUGACUAAUUUAUAGAACGAGAGAGGGUAUGUUUUCUCCUACACAUCCAUCCUGCUCAGUGGCUGUACCAUCAUCAAACAUUCAGAAAGGACCAGCUAUGUGAAAAGCAUUAUGCUAAUCCCUGAGAGCACAGGAGUGUGAGCGCAGUCCCAGCCUUCAAGGAACCUUCGGGAGGGAGACAAAAAAACACAUUUACACACAGAUGGCAGGAGAAGAAUAGCAAAGGUGGGCUCAGGUACUGUCACUUGGGGCCCAAGAACAGUUAUAAAGGCAAUGUCACCAGGAAGCAAGCAACACACUGAGUUAAACCUGACUGUUUAACUCAGAGACCACAAGGACAAAGCAAGGGUGUGAGAAAGAGCUUGCAGGUGGACCCCGAUGUGGGUGACAUGAACUGGGACAUUGAGCCAGGCUGUUUCAGAUACGACUUAAAGGAUAUUCUGUGUUCAAAGAUACCUCAACUGAUGGCUGCAAUAUCUUUAUAGGAGGUUUCUUAUGUCCAGACCCUUCCCACAGCUCUAUUCUACUCAAUUACUCUCAUAUUAACUUUCCCAAUUAGGCCAGUCCUUGGUCAACAGAGCACCGAGUAAGCACUGGUGCUUUAGAACACCGCCCGGAGGUAGCUGCACUCGUCGUCGUUGCCUUAUUCCUCUACAGCGGAAUCCAGCAAACUGUCUGAAAAGUAAAAAGCAACUCAGCUCAGCAGGCUGUAUAUGCUGUAACUCCUUUCUGUGGCCAACUAUUCAUCUCUGCCUACACAGUACAAAGGGCUUAGGAGGCUUAGAAGAAGGACUGUAGAUUCCAGGCCAACCCUGUCAACUCUACCCUAUCACCACCAAAAAAAGGGCACCGAGACAGUAGAUAAAGGAAUGGAUAUAUGGUCAUUCUGCAGGCCUUACUUUACUUCCCCUGGCAUGGAAUUCUAGGCUCACCCAUGUCAAUUUCCUUGGCUGCCUACUCCCUGCCUUGCGUCCUUAAGCAGUCUUCAUCAUCAUUACUGACUCUCACCAGAUCUCAGCACCCACUACAUCUUCCUGUUUGCCCUGCUGCUCUUCAAGAGAUAUCUGCCAGGGACCUCCUGUAUGCUAAGGACUAAUGCUGGUUUCUCAGAGUGGAUGACAGGCAUUUUUUUCUGGGUUUGUGGGCAUUAUGACAGAGGCAGGGUGACAGGAAGGUAGAAGACCUGCUGUUUGGUUCAGGACUGAUGCCAAGUUCCCCUUCCUUUCAGCCACCACUAUUCCUUCUCUCUACAAUCAAACACCAGGAAGAAAGGGUGAGCAGCACAGUGCCAGGAAAUGCCUCCCACAGCUCCUUGUACACUGCAUACUCUAAGCACACGUGCUACAUUGAACUGAGAGAAAUCUAAAUUAUUCAUGCCCUAUUAAUUGAUAUGUAAGUACACAUUUCAAAAUCUUACUUUUUCGUUUUUUGAGACAGGGGGUUUCUCUGUGUAGUUCUGGCAAUCUUGGAACUCUGUAGACCAGGCUGGCCUCUGCCUCCCGAGUGCUGGGAUUAAAGGAGUGCUCCACCACUGCCCAGCUCCUUACUAUUUUUUAAUGUAUACAUUACUACAUUAGGAUGUAAGGGUAGACUUCUAAGGUCUAUGCCCAUAAGGGAAACCAGAAAUAAACACAAGCCUGAGGUACACACACAUAUAUAUUUGUAUGUAUUUAUUAGCCAAUAGUAACAAUGAAAUGACAACAGUAUGACCACCCUCCGGCUGAAUAAAAUACCUUUUAUUUAAACAGAUAAGCAAUUAUGAAGAUUUUAGGCUAAGGAGAAAGGGCUACUUUUAGCAUAUGGAAUGGAGCGAAAGAAUUAUAUAUAGAUACACUCACAUGCUCGGAUGUAUCCAUCUUUAAACAGCCUAUCAAAACUGUCUAACACACUGCUGGCUAUAAAUGUGCUAUACCUGACAGGGAGAAAAUUCCAUGAAAGAUUAUAAAAGCUUGCUAGAAGCAUUAAAAAUUUCCAGCCAUUUCAUUAUUUGUCAUUCAGCAACUGUUAAUAUUACUUUUUGUAUUCUUAGUGAAGCUUGAAAUUAACAUGGCUUUUUGUUUAUUUCUUCAUUUCUGCACCCUUGUCAGCUCAUCUCAGGAAUGCAGUUUGUUAGCUGGCUUACUGCAGUGCCAAAGAGAAAGCUUGGGAAGCUUAAGCCGACUAGUGAAAGGCUCUGCAUGAAAACACAUUUGCGUUUUAACCUCUCAGAAGCAGAGCAGUUAACUUAAAAUAAAUAUUUAACAUCUUGGUGCUUUUAUCAAGACUCGUUUUGACAUGGACAUGUUCCCCAGGGAACAAAGUCUACUGGAAAAAGUUGAUUGAAAAGAAAAGGUGAAUCUAGAAUUUUCAAAGGAAAACCAAUCUCCAGAAAUGCUCCUCCCUCCAAAAAUCAUUAAUCUGAAUUGAACAUAGGCUUAGCAUUUUGAAGUCUCAUAGGGAAGUAGUCCCAGGCAAUGCCUCUUCUGCCCCAGCAAUGUUUUUGUUGUGUGCCUGCCUGGCUGCUGCCCUACCCUGCUCCACCCCCAUAGCUAUUUCACACAUGGAUCCUGAUUUACACCCAAGGCACCUUAUUGCCCAGGAAGCUCAAGCAAGACGUAGAUCUUGAUAGGAGAGCUACCAAACACUCCUGGGGCACAGACAGGGCAGCAAGCCAUAAGAAGUCUGGUCAUCCCCUGGUAGGGACCAUUUAUUAAGUUUCUUUUGCUGACUUCACUCCUUCCUUACACAGUGCCUUGAGUUUUGAGAGGAUGACAUUUAUAAGGGGUUGCUGGAUGUGUUCUGAAAACUACAGAGCUUGACAGAUAUGAGUGUCCGAUGCCCCCAGGAACAAGAGUGGUCAGUGAUGGUAACCAAAAUGGCUUUGCUAAAUGGUUCAAAUGUAGCAAAGUCAUAAACAAACAAACAAAAAACCCAAAAGAACCCAAACCUCUCGGGAUAAAAUGGUCCAGAAUUUUUCAGAAGACAGAAUCCUGUCUCAUUUAAUAUGUACACAUUUACCUGAGCUUCCUAUAUUCCCCGCUCCCAGAACAAGGUAUAUCUUACAGGUAACUUCGCAUUUGGGUGUGUGGCCACCUGCCAGACAAGGCUCCGCAGAAUGACCUGAAUAUAUCAUUUUAAGUCUACUCCCAUAGGACUGUCACCGGACCAGGGGGCCACUAAGUUACACAGGAACUGCAUCUAGUUUUUCCUGCCCCAUGAACUUCCUGUAAAGAGCAUGGUCAUACUGUAUUCAUCUCUCCUUUUUUUGGCACUAACUCACUGUAGAAUAAAAUCACGCUGAGUCACAGCAUGACACAGCCAAUCUCCAUCUCUAUUUUAGGCACAUUUUACACACAGGAGCUGGCAACACACCUUUCCUGAUAUAAACACAGCUCUGACGGCCUGCAAAUUUCAACUGGGUCAGUCUUGCUGCAUUAUUUGACUUACUUGAAACUUUAUUUAAAUUUAGUUUUUGUUUGGGCCAAUUUUGAUGAUAAAAUUUUGUGCUGCAAAACUGAGGACAGGCUAAGUGGAGGUGGAGGAAGGAGGGUGGACAGAGUGGGGAGGAGAGAGGAGGGAGGGAGAGAAGAGGGAGGAGGGAGGAGGGGGGAAGGAGGAGGGAGGAGGUGGCCCUGUUUUUCUGGUCCCUCCAAAUGGCUUUAUUAGCUGAUUUUGAAAGUUUGCGGUACAUUUUCAAAAUGCUCAACACCCCACAAUUAAACCAAACCACAAAUCUACUUCCAAAGCCAAAGGAUGCUGGAUUUUAAAGCCAAAAAAUGUACUGGGAAAACCCAGUGGUAUACACCCCUUCUUCCCUUAGUUCCUCUCUCACCAAAAUGUGUGUAAACAAGGCAGGACUGAAAGACAUCUCUAUUGAAUGCUGAACACUAUGAAAGGAAGUAUCUCUGUUUCUGGGAAUUCAGAUUCAACUUGUUUGCUUUAUACGAAAAUUAAGGAUGUAGUUGCCACCACCAGAGAACACCUUUAAAGAUCUCUACAAUAAAAGCUCCCAUACUUUAGAAAAUUUCUGACUUUCCAAGAAGCAUACGGGAUGUAGCCUGGAUGUUUAUGUGCCAAGCUGAGUAUGCUAUGGUAAGCUCUUUUCUUAUGGGGAGGAGACUAGAGUUCCCUGUGUGUAGUCUUCCAGCAUUCCUUCUUCAUUCCGAGCUGAGGAUGCUUCUAGGAGCCUCUCUUGGAGAUGCUCAAUUGCUCUUGACUUUCCUGUCUCAGCCCCUACCUGAUGAGACUUUGGAUUUAGGGCAGAGCCAGUGUUCAGGGUCAGGUACAAUGUGGCUACUACUCCAGAUUCUAAUUUUACUUGCUAUGGAGUGGAGACCUUUUAGAGUUCAGUCCUAAAUGAUGUCAGCAGUGUUAUCACCCACCACAUACCCUCCUUCACUCACACAUACACUCAUUUAUUUACUCAUAUCUUCCACUGAGGACCUACAAUAAGCACUGUACUGCUACCAGGGCACUGCGUAAGAUCCACACCGAGGCUCAAGAGACUUCUAUUUGAUCAAGACCAGAUAAACAUGAAAUUAUGUGAGCAGAUGUUAGCAAUGAGGGUCCUGCUGGGGUACAGGACAGGCAUGCCAAUUCUGCCUCCUACAGGAUCUACCUAGGCUGCUACUUCUCAUAGAAGCUUCCCCUAGUCAUCUCAGAUGUGUCUGCCCCAGCCUCUAGGUCCCUUAGCUGAACAGGGACAUGCAAGGCUCUUGCCUCCACAAGAAUCUGUGUUCCUUCACAGCAGGAUCUGCCACUUUCCCCUCAUCUCUGAGCCCCUACUGUACCUAACAUCCUCUCUGGCAUGUGUCAGUGCUCGCAAAUGUUUACUGUUGUUCCAAGUAUAUUCAAUGGUAAACCACAGAAGUGAGACCUUCUGAGUACUGUACUGAAAGCCCACACACACCCAUUUCCUCUGAAGACCUAGAAGACAAAGGCAGGGCCUCUGAACGCUAGACCUGCCAAGCUACAAAGAAGCUCUGUACUCCCCAAAGCUUUUGCUCCCCUCUCUAGCCUCAUCCCUUACCUUUUGAAUGGUGACGGUCCCUUCCUGAGGCUAUUCAGCAUCACAGAGUCACAGAUGGGGAAGGCGAGCAGAAGUCCCAUCUUUUUUGAUGAAAUAUCAAGGCAAUGCAGGGAAAGGAAGAUGCCCUUUCAUUCCAGAGAUGAGACAUUUUCACACCACGAGCUCACUAACAACUUGCACUGGCUAGCAAUGAAAACAAGGCUAUACAAUAUUUAGCAUUUCCCAAAGGCCUGUAGUUUCAGAUAGAGUCCAGGCUUUGACCUUCUUUAUGGUCUUUCUGACACAUAUAUGCUUUAUGUUUUAGAAUGAAGAUACAGAAAGAUCUGUGUUAAUUAUCUACUGCCACAUAACCAAUCACCAUCAUAGCUUAAAAUAGUAGUUCUGUAGGUUAGAGAUUCAGCAGUGGCCUAGCUGGGCGAUAUGGGUCAGGGUCUGUCAAGAAGCUAUAAUCAAGAUGCUCCCUUUCCAAGUUCACUAACACAGCCGUUGGCUGAAGAUCUCAGUUCUUCCUUAUGUGGGCUUUUACAGGGCUGGGCUCACAAUGGGAGACAAGGAACAGGCACCAAGGCAGAAGCCAGCAUAGCAUCUAUAAUCUAAUCUUUGAAGUACUAUGCCAUCAUUUCUGUCAGAUCCUACAGAGCCCACAAAUCAGCCCUGAAUACUAGGAGAUGAGGACCACUGGGAGCCGGCUACCACAGGCAUACUCUAGCAAUGGCGUUCAUAUAUCUUCAUUAUGAUUGGUUAUUUCCUUUCCAAAGUCAGACAGACAAAUGGACAGGUAGGUAGGUAGAUCCAUAACCCGGUAUUAUAGACUCACCAACAAAAUUUUCAACAGAUAGUUUUUUUUCCUCCUAUGUCCUUAAAGGACUACUGAUACAUUAGAAAGAAUCUGUAAUUACAAAAUAGGGUCAGAACUUUCAAAUGGAGAUAUCCAAAACUUUCUUAUUGUGAGAAAUGGCAUUAAGUACAUUCAUUUCAUAUUAUUGUAUCUUCAUCUCCACCUACUACAUCUAAGUCUAAUGGAAAUCAUACAUACCUAUUAAGCAAUAACUCCAGCACCCGUAACCCCUGGUAACUACUGUUCUACUCACUGUCUCUUAGAAUCAUACUAUUUGUCUAUUUGUAUCUCACCUUCUGGGGCAUGUGUGUGUGUGCAAAUGUAUGUGUGUUUUUAUUAGUAAUCAAACCCAGAGCCUUGCGUAUUCUAGGUUUCAGCAGCCCAAUUUCCUUUCUUUUCAAAGUGUGGUAGCAUUUUAGUGUGUGUGUGUGUGUGUGUGUGUGUGUGCACAUGUGUGUGCACAUGUGUGUUUAUAUUCUAUUGUAUAUAUGCUAUAUGCUAUUUCUUCAUUAACUCUCUUUCUUUAAAAAAAUUAUUUAUUUUAUGUAUAUGAGUACACUGUAGCUGUCUUCAGAUAAUCCAGAAGAGGGCACUAGAUCCCAUUACAGAUGGUUGUGAGUCACCAUGUAAUUGCUGGGAAUUGAACUCAGGACCUCUGGAAGAGCUGCCAGUGCUCUUAACUGCUGAGCCAUCUCUCCAAGCCCCUCAUUAUCUCUUAAUAGACACUUUGCUCUACCUUUUGACUGAUGUGAACAAUGCUGCUGUGAGCAUGUGUAUUCAAGCAUUCUAUAAUUAUAAAAACCAAACAUAUUUGAACAUGUUAAACAUGAGUGAGCUGAAGGAUGAAGACCUUCCUGCCCCGCUGGUAGACAGUCCUUGGCCUGCCUGAGGCUAGGGCCUAGCCUAGUGAUCGUAGGCAAUGGCUACAGAGAAAUGCAGUUUUAUUCUAUUCAAAUGCACUGGGGGGAUUGGAGAGAUGGUUCAAUUGGUAACCAUAAAACCCAAGUUCAUAUCCCCAAGUAAAAGUCCUAAGUGGUAGCCAGCAUCCAUGACUCCAGUGGUGAGAGUUGGGGAAGGCAAGAAGACAGGCAAAUCCUUGGAGCUCAUUGGCCAGCCAGUUUAACCAGUCAGUGAGUACCAUGGAGUACCCUGCUUAGUAGAGACCCUGUCUCAAAACACAAAGUGGAAGAGUGUUGAGGAAGCACUGUGAUGACUACUGCCCUCCACAUGCAUGUGCAUCGUCAUGCACACACACACACACGUGAACACAUAUAUAAACACACAUACUACACAUACAUAUUAUUAGUUUACCUUCUCAAAAAUAAUGUCCUAUUGUAAAAUACAUGUUGUUUUUUAAAUCCAAACAAACAAAACUCUUGAGAUAAGGAAAUUUUUUAGGAAGAAAUGUUGACUCUUAAAAUUCAACUGAUACCUGAGUAUGCUGUUAUAUGCCUGUACUUCUAGUACUCAGAAGGCAAGGAAGGAGGAUUGUGCAUCCCAGGCAAGGCUGGGCUACAAAGAGUGUAUGAUCCAGUCUUUAAAAAUCAUAAAAUAAAACUAAAUAAAAAAAAACUCAGUUAAUAGUUCUAAACUGAGGUGGAGAAUUCAAAAGUAUAGAAAUAAUAAGUAUAUAACAAAACGGCUCUUCCCUUCUCUCCAGUAGGGCAACAUAGCAUACCAUCUUGCCUAGAAAACUCUCCUUCACCUAUGUUAGCCUAAUGUUACCUCAGCCACAAUCAAGGACAUCCACAGGAAGAGCUCUUGAGUACAGACCUGUCUGCCAUGGUCAGAUCCUAGAAGUCAGCAGAGUUCACAUAUAGCUUACCCAUCUAGAGGUGAAUCAAGCUGUGGAGGACUGUAAAGUUUCAUAAGUAAUUCAAAACUCUAAACUUCUAUCCCUUUAGAAAGCAGUUAUAACACUCAAUAACAUACAUGGCAAAUAUCUGUCCCAUGCCAAGUGGGAUUAGAAGCUGGGGAUGCAGGAUACACUACUGAAGAAAACAGACAAGUAUAACGAACACAGAAAAUUUGGUAUUGCUUAAGAAUUUGGGUUUUACCAAAGGGUAGGAUGUGUGCUGCCUCAAUCAGUACUCAGCCUGUCCAGUCCAUGUCUAAAGUCUCCCACCAGGCACAGCUCACCAGGAUCAACAUGGCAAAUCUCUGGAGGAAAUCCUGGAUUUCUCAUAUGAACACCUUAAGCAACACAGGACCUGUCUAGAAACCAAGCCCUCUUGCCCUGAAUUAAACAACAUUCUGGUUCAAACUGUUUAGAUUUGUGUUUACUAAUAUUCUGAAGCAACUCUGGGCCCAGUACACACAUAGGUGGGAGAAGAAUCCAGACACUAAAUGGAUUUCCAAAAGAUGAGCAAAAACUAUUGGAGAGCAGAUUCUAGGGUACUCUACAAAGCUGUGGAUUUGAGCGCAGCCAAAGUAUACAUCUGUUCUUAAGCAACACACAUUUUUGUUACCUUGCCCCACUGUAUGAUGCUGCCAAGGCUGGCAAACACAUGGCACACUGGGCCUGGAGUCACAUCCCACAGGGCCAACCCAUACAACACUCCACCCAUCGUGCAUCCUGCCAAGGUCCUGACCAAGUAGGUGGUGGAACUAACGACUUACUUGCUGAGAGAUGAUCCCUCCUUGCACUGUCUUGGCCCUCAAAGCUCCAGAUCCUCAUACUUUUUCUACUAUUAUCAGUUUUAGGCCUCUCCUGUGCUGGGGGAGACUACUAGCAAAUGAUAUCUUGGCCUUUAAUAGCAGAAACAAUUGAGAGCAGCCAGACUAAAAGAGAGAGGGGAAGGUCUCAAAAAAUUGGCCUCUCACCUCCUCACCUUUGGGGUCUGGGGAUAAGGUCAAGGCUAGAAGGUCGAAGCUGGUGGCUGCUGUCUGGUGUUCUUCCAAGAGCUGCAUGAGGGGCAUGAUCCCAGGGGAGUGUCAGAGGACUAGCUGCUUCUAGUCUUCAUCCACAUCUCAUGUUAGCAUCAAAUCGUUCCCAAAAUAAUGUGUUAGGACAGCAUUUGUGUAUCAAUCAUAUGAUUCCCUCGACUAUUUUUAACACCAGAGAUAAGUUCCUGUGUAAAUCAUUUUCCUUCUUCUCACCUCCCACCCAACCAACAUUCAGUCAGCAAACUUAAAAAUACUGUCCAUUAAAGGAGAAUUCUCCCACAUGUAUAUAUAAUAUCUCCAGGACUAACCAGCAACUCAUAAGGCAUGUAGGUACAUUUAGGAGCUAAUGCAUAUUAAAGUAUAUUAUAACAUCAUUUCCAGUCUCAUUAAAGCUCAGACCUUAUAUUGUCACUACAGUUCCAGCCCUGACAGUAAUGGUCAAUAGAGAGAAACUUAAAUUUCAACCUUUCCUAAUUGUCAGCCCCCAGGUACAGAGUCAAAGCUAAAGAUUAUUCUUGUCAGAGCCUGCUGAGUGUCACACUGGUUAGGGCUCCAAUGUACCCAGAAACUCCACAGUGUCCUCCCCAAAAGUAGAGAAAUGGGCCUUUGGCAGGUUGGUCUGCCCUGUUGUUUUGAAAACAUAGGUAAUGGGGCUGUCUAAUUCAGUCAGCACAGUGAUGUUUAUGAAGUGCUUGGGACUGAGGUAUAGCUGGUGUAAAGUGUGCCAUCCUCAAAUUAUUUUUGGUAUGUGCUCUCUUACAAAAAGAAAUCACCUUGCUAUCCAAUUUGAAAUGAAAAUAAAUAUUUCUUGUGAAAGAGCUCAGAACUCUUUUCACCAAACAUCAUUUAUUAUUAGCUAAAUGCUAACUUUCUUGGAGACAGACUCAUCAUAUCCUAAUUACCAUGUGUUGGCAAUGGGUUCCGUACUUGACCUACUGCAGGGCUAAGCCCCAAUUGGACCUACGAUCUCCCCAUCCCUGAAGAAAAAUAUCUCUGCUCUGAGAGUAAUGUGUUACCUCACAUGUAAUCCCGUGGCUCAGAACUCCAAAGUCAUAGCUUAUACUUUGUUAGAGAAGAGUCAGGACUAAUUGGGGCCUAGAGAUUUCCAACUCCAAAAUUAGAAAAUGAGAAAGAGGCAGAGGAGAAGGAAUGAGUAAAUAAACAUGAGAAACAGAGCUUUUGCAACAGGGGGCAGGGAUGAAGGCUUUCAGGUAGCUUUCCAUGCAGGACAAGCAGGGUAUCCAUGAUUGCCUUCCUUACUCAGUAAGAGCUCUUGUCCAGGACUCCAGAGGAAAGCCUGGGCCCUUGGGCUAAGAAACAGCCAAGACCACAGGCUUAAAAGGGCAGUAAGCAAAAUACUGCAGAGACAAACUGGGUCCAAGAGGACUCUGGACCACAGUGCUGGACUACAGUUCAUUAGUGACCAUACAUUAAAAUCUGCUUUCCAAAGAGCAUCUCUAAUCAAUUAGUGGCAUGAGUGUUAUUUUAGACAUAGAGUCAGAGGAUGAAGAAGGCCCAAAGCAGAGACAUAAGACCUGCCUUUCACAGGGCCAGGGCUCUCUCCAUCUGAUACUUGGCUCACAGGUCUACAAACUGUUACCUGACGCUCUGGUAGAUUGCCUUGGGCCUAGAGUGAAUUUGAUGAAAACUGGCCAGAUAGGAAUCUCUUGAUGAAGGAAUAGGUUUAUAUAAUUGCCAAGAUCUCUUUGGGGGCCCCAGUGGUAAGAUUCUGUGGGAACUCUCUAGCCUGGUAUUAUCUACUCAGUGGCAGUGGCUAGCUGCAGAGCUGGUGACUAUUUCCUUGUAGUCCUGUGUUUCCUCUGUGCUCACAUCUUGCACUGUUGCUGAUAAGGCUGAGUGUCACAUAACACGGCAGUGCUGGUUACUUAGUGUUCACCACCAGUGACAACAAAUUUCUGCUUUCCUUUUACAUAAGACAGCAUUACACCCCCUAGGUAAUAUGGUUGUGCUUAGAACCUUUAACCUGGCACUUUAUACAAUGUGAGAAAUUGUCAGGGCCAAAAUGAAAACUUAGUCCUUAACCUCAGCAACUCUCAACCCCUGAAGGACCAAGCAGAGCAGGUUAUGAGCUGGCUAUGACUACGGACCAGCUGGCUCUACUCCUUCCUGGCUCUAAGUCCUAGGACAAGCCAGGUUCUUAACUUCCACAUGUGCAAGUGAGGAAGAGACAGAGCUGCUCUGAUGAGCACAUGAAAUAGUAUACACAGCAGUGCUCUGUCAAGUGCAAAGUUAUACUUUAAAAAUAGAUAUAAAUUAAUAAAUUAUUUUUUUCUAUGAGGAGAAAAGAGCUGUGGUACUUUUAUUUCUCCUUCUAAGGAAAGUUUAAUCAGGAAAGCCAGAGUAUGUAGAGAUGAUUUUUAAAGUAUAUGUUUUAAAUCCAUAAUCUGUACAUAAACUCAAAGAUGUCUUUGUAAAAAAAAAAUAAUAAUAAGGAACAUGGCUUGGCUCAUGCAGGCUGGCUACAGAGUGGGUCCUAGAAGCCUGCUGAAUGUCACUAACUCCUUACAAGGACAAAGCUUGGGAGCUAGCUCUGUGUACCUACCACUCGUCUUGAUUUCAAGACCUUGGAUCACACAGUAAUCCUGUUAAAAGUGCUUUUCCUGUGACGCCGACUUAAGGGACUGAGAUGGAGCUCUGUCCUCAUCUGUAGAAGGUGGAGGUGGGUGGGGAAGGAUUGGAUUCACAUGAUAGUAACUGAGCUUUCACUAUUUUCCAAAUGAGAAAAUUUAAAUGCCAAAAGCCCUAGUAGCUGAAUAACAUUCAUCACAAAAACAUCCAAAAGUAUUAUAAAAAAAAGUCAUGUAUGUAAACAUUUAACAUAAGUUGCCUACACAUUAUGUAUAAAGAAUAAAACUGGAUUCUCACUUAUUUGUGAUAAAUGCCAGGAGAUAGAUAAGCAAGGGCCAUGGGCUUUUAGUUCUUAGUUUAGGAGUCAAGGACACUGCAUGAGGACUGGCCCAGUUAGACUGGCUCUAGCACUACUGUGUUUCUAACAAGUUUGGGACUUAGUACAACAAACAUAAAGAGAUGAGCAUAUGACAUUAGAAGCCACUGGCAGCGGGGCUGAUUCAGACAAUGGUGAGUAGGGACAUCUGAACCCUAGGAAGAUCAGAGACCAACCAUUCUGGGAGAAUAAGCCACUCUGAGGCAGAAAGGCAGGCUCUACAUCACUUAGCAGCUAUGGGAUUGUGGACAAUUUUGCCUCACCCCUUUGAGCUUGUUUUCUCAGAAGAUGUUACCUACUUAGAAGAGUCCCAAACAACAGACAGUGUAAGAAACAUGUCUGGUAUAAAAAGGUACUGAACACAGCUAUGGAAUGCUAUAUGCUUGAUGAAUCCAUUUGUAUGCCUGGAGCCUAUUAGCUUUAAAGCAAGGUGAGUCCAAUAUAAUAUAUACAUAUAUCUGUGUGUUGUGUUUAAACACAUUUCAUAAAACUCAUAAUGGCAAUGCUGAGGAUGAGAAAAAAAUUUUUUUCAACUCAAGGAACACUCCCUCUGGCAAGAAGAACAAAGAGUCUCCCUGGAUUCCAGUUGUACUGCAUGCUAGCAACUCCUUUUCUCAGCUACUAGAUGAGAGUGAUAACAGCCACCUUGAGAAACAAAUGAGGCCCUGGCUUUGGCAGGUGCAUACAGAGUGCCACUGUCUUUCAUCCUGUGCUGAAGCAGAAGGCUAAGGGUGCUAUUGGUGCUCAAGUAUUUACAUUAUGAAACUAUGAGAGACACAUGCCAGGCCCUUGGAAAUGAGUCCAUAUCAGUACUUUUAUUCUCUAAAUUCCUGUUCCACAUGUGUUCCACAUGCAGUCAGCACUAAAAUGCUGUUGCAAGUUCAAUGUAUGAAAAGAAUGAUAAUCCAACUCUAAAAUAAGUCACUUUUUAGAAGUACAGAGUACUGUCUUUGAAAAACUGAUUCUCAACUGAGAAGAAACUUGGACGUAGAAAAGCAAGAAAGCAUCUUUCCCCACCUAAUCAAAAAAUACUCAAGAAUGGGUCAGUCUGAGUGGAGUAUAUUACUCAGUACUUAAGGUUUGCCAGCUUCUCAUUUGAUCUGCAGAAACAGACACACUGAAUUAGCAAUGAAGUAAAUGUGUUAGGUUUAAUCUGCCCCCUCCAUCUCUGAAAUAAUUUGUUAUGCUCCACUCUGACAAAAACAUGCAGGUUUUCACGUUCUUCAAAUGACACCAGCUAGUGGUAGGAGUGUGGCUCUGUCAUCUAGCCCACUGAUGGACACACCUACCAACACUCCGCCAAUGUAACUUAGACUCCUCAUUCCAGCAAUGCACAGCUUAGAGUUCCAACAUGUGUCUCAGAGAUAGGCAUUCCUAUGCUGAGGGGUCACUUCUGCCUAGCUCAGAGCCACUCUGGUCCUGGAACUAUGUGGGCAUCCCUUGCUUGUCAAUCGGGGUCUCAAAGCAUCCUUCCCCAUACUGAUCAGCAAUGUGGACAAGUCUCUCAUUACCUGGUAAUCCCAUCAUUCCUGUACAUCCAGCCUUGUCCAUAAAAACCCACAAUGUGGCAAACUGGAGGCAGUGUCUGCUUUGGCUUGGUAGAAAGACAUUAGACAGCAGAUGAGGGCUGAGGGGUAUAGAGUGAGUGGGUAGGCGGGUGAAGUUUGCGGUGUGAACUCCAGGUCCAGAACCACUUAGGACAGGCAGCUGCCACAGUAUACUAGUUGCACCCAAGUAUUAGGAUAAAAGUUUCUCACUGUCAUAUAAGAGAUGCACUGUAAAAUUUCAGGGAUCAUGGCAUGCAUCUGCCUAAGACUGCAGGGAAAUACAGAAACGCACGGGUUUGUUUCACCACCUGCUAAUAUUCAUCUGCACUUUGCUGGCUGUCUACUUCUCCUGCCUUAGCCUCUGACUAUGAGGCUUGCCAUUUUGUCCAGAAAACAAACACCUGCCUAUAGCUCAUGUACUUCACUCACAAACACCACCUCCAUGAAAACUAAUGAAAAGGUAGUAAAAGUGAAAUGCAGUUCAUGAAUAUUCAUAGCAUCUCCCACUGCCAGCAGCCAUGUAUGUUCUAUCAUUAGAUGAGGAGGCUGUUUGCAGCCUGUAUCUCAGAGAGUUGUGUCCCAUCAUCAAAGUGACCAUCACAGUGGGCAGCUCAGAAGGAGGGGAAGCCCUCAAUAAAACUGCAUGGUCAUUAGGUGGCCCAGGCCGCCUUUUAUCAUGAGCUAGCUGGGCAGCCUUAGGGGAUUUACACACCAUUUCCUAUGGUCACACAAUUAAGAAGUGGGUUGAGAAUGCCAACCCAAUUACCUGACAUCAGUACACUGUGGGGAAAAUGUUCCAUACUCAUGAUAUAUAAAUAAAUAUAUCUGGGCUGUAGGGCAGAAAAAUGGUUCUUUAGAGGGCAGAGGAAAGCCAAUAAUCAACGCAAAUCAGAACUAGUCUAUGGAAUGCUUUAUAGGACAAAAAAAGUCUGCUAAACAAACAAACAAACAAACAAACAAACUUCCUUGAGAAAAAAAUAUGUAUUCAAAGGUUUGGGAAAGAUGGCUUAUUCAGUAAAUGCUUCCUGCGAAUGCAUAAGGACUAGAGUUUGAACCCUCAGCAUCCUCGUAAAAAGCUGGGCAUGGUUACUGCUGAUGUAUAAUCUUAGCACCAGCAAGGCAGAGGCAAGGGGAUCCCUGAAGCUCACUUGCCAUCUAGUUUUUCCAAACUGUCAAUCUCCAGGUUCUCUGAGAAAGCCUAUCUCAACUACAGUGGAGGAUACGUGAGGGGGACACGCAGCAUGGACAGGUGGACAAGCACACAUGAGCAUACACACAUCCAAAUAUGUACCAGGAAGAAAACACAAAUAAAGGAGACUUCUGUCUGUCUGCUACAUAGAGACAGGGUUUCUCUAUGUAACAGAGCCAUAGCUGAUCUGAAACUCACAUUGUAGACCAGGCUGGCCUUGAACUCACAGAGAUCUGCCUGACUCUACCUCCUGAGUGCUGGGAUCAAAGGUGUGUACCACUACGCUCAGUGAUAAAAGAGAUUUAUAGUAAUGAAAUUUACCAUGAAAAAGGUUCUAGACAAACUGCCCAACGGCUUUAUCAACAAAUUUUUUUCAUCAUCCAAUUUAACUAAGGUCAUUUUUUUUUCCACAGUGAUUUUCAUCUUAUCUUCCUCACUUGACACUUUUGAAGGACAAGCCUAGUCCUGACUUAGUAUGACACAGGGCCUUGCUUAUAACAGAUGCCCAAUUAAUGUUCCUGGAUGAUGAAGAAAAAGAAGUAACAUUCAGCUAGAACAUAGGGAGGAACAAGUCAUGUUCUUACAUGUGAGACUUGACAGCACUGGCCACAGGGCCAGCAGGCACAAACUGACUAACCAUGGACUCUGGCCAGUGGAGGCUCACAGACAAGAGUGGCCAUUGCAUAUGCUGAUGAUGAGGAAAAGAGCAAAUGUAUAAACACACAACUCAGAUCUCCCUCUUCCUUCUCAUCUGAAGGCCAUGAGGAUAAAUGUGAUUAUCCAUGUGUCUUUGCUGAUGACAGAAACUGGUGCUAAAACAGAUAGAACCCAAGUACUUUCUGUAUCCUCCAAACCCCAGCACAAAGGAAAAGAUGACAAUAAAUAGUGUUAUUCCUGAUAUAUUAAAGGGUUUUGGGCCUGACAACUCUGAAACCUUACACACCCAUACUCACAUGAAUGCAUGUGCACACACUUUAGGAAUACUGGAAUAUAAACAAAAUCCCCUCCCCUUAUCAGUCUUUCUAAAACAGAGGGGCCACACUGGAGGCCGCUGUGGGAUUCCUGUGAACUGAGGCUGGUGCAUCCCUCAGGGAAGUCUGUGGUCUCUCCCAGCACCAGUGGCCUCCUACGCACAUGGAACACACAGGGGCCUGCAGAGAUCCUGAAUAAAGCUGUCCCUUUGUUCCUAAGGUCAAGAAAAACCAAAUGACUAACCUAGAAGUAUCCUAAAAACACUCAAAUUCUAGCUGGCAUGUCUAACAACUUUAGGGUUUACUUAAAAAUUAACCUCAAAAUGCCCAAAUUUCAGUUUCUAGUAAAACUCAUCUUAUUUCAACUUCUUCGCCUGAAAGUAAUUUUCCUUUUUCUGCUUAAAAAAUGGUUCACGGAGGUAAAAUUUACAUACUAUAAAACUAGCCAUGAUAAGGUAACUAUUUGGUGCAUUCACAAGAUUGUACAAAUCCCCACCUCUAUCUAGUUCCCAAAUGCUCUCUGACUCGGAGGUAAAACCCCUUUACCCACAAAGCAAUUCCUCCCAUUGUCCCUUUCUCAGGCCCCUGGCAAACAUGUCUGCAUUCUGCUGAGUUAGUCUAUUUUGGAUUUCUUAUAAUGUGACCUUUUGUGUCUACUUUCUUUCCCUAAGCAAGCAGUUUUGAUGUAUAACCUUUUUUUGUGGGGGGGGCAGGGGUGACAGCUAUCAGUAUAUCAUUCCAUUUCCCACCCUGCCCCCAGCCUCCCAGUCCUCCAGCCCCCCAGCUUGCUACUGUUGUUUUGAUAAAUAAAAUUGUGUUGUAUCCGUUCACUGCAGUCAACCAGAGAUGCACAUUUGGAUUGGCCUGCUUCUUGGCUACCGUAUAUAGUGUUAUAUGAACAUGCAUGUACAACAAUUCAAGUAGAUGUUUUCUGUCUUUUACAACAUAAACCUGGAAAUAGAAUUCCAGGGAUCAUAUGGCAAUUCUAUGUUUAAUGUUUUUAGUAACUGCCAAGCUGUUUUCCAUAAUGGCUGUGCCGUUUCACAUUCCCACCAGCAAGAAAGGGUAGAGAAUAUUAUUUUACACAUAAUUUAUUUUAAAGUUUCCUAAAUAAUUUUCAUUAAUAUUAACCCUUGUGCUCCACAAAAAUCUUAGGGAUUUCUUUGAGAAUUUUUAUUUAAUAGGCCCUGUGAAAUCUCUAAUCUCCAGCCCCACUCCCAUCCAGCACAGACAAUAUGACAAUUACCAGAAGAGAGCAGACACCCAGAAUGUCUACCAUCCAGCUGGCUGCCCAGAACUAACACCCAGACACAAUUAGCAAACAAAUGUCUGUCUGCAAGUUCCAUCGAUGAAGAGAUGUCUAAUACAGAUUUUUCAAGGAAGUAAGAAUUUAUAGCAGAAAAGGAGGAAAUGCACAGAGGGCAGAGUGGCCACAGGAAGGUAAGCAGAGCUGAAACCUGUGUAAAUAGACAAGCAGGUAUUAAAAAAGACAAGAAACUGUAGCCACAUGGGGUACUGAGUAUCACAUCUCUGGAGAUGUUUGUGGCCUGCCUUCUUCAGGAGUCCAGCCAACUCUGCUCAUCCCUAGGUCUUGGAACUUGGGGACCAAGAACCUGGGGGGAGAGAGAGAGAGAGAGAGAGAGAGAGAGAGAGAGAGAGAGAGAGAGAGAGAGAGAGAGAGAGAGAGAGAGAGAGAGAGAACAUGAACAAACUACUGAAGAGUGAGUCCCUUCAUCUCUCUGCCAGUACUGAGCAUCAGUGUCUCAUUUCCAAAGUGCUGUGGGGAGCAUAUCUCUUACCAAAGAACUCCCCCCUACCUGCCAGGAAAGAUAAUGCUGUCAUGUUUCUUUAGAAGUGUUCAAUUUCAGUAGUAAAACAAACCCAGCAAUUCUCCUGCUGUGCAAGCAAAAUUGAAAGUAUUUAUGUGUGGUGAGUCUUGCCUGCCUGAUGAAAAGAGGAGCAGAAUGAAUAUAUACAUGCUCCUUCCCUGCUCCUUUAUUACCUGGAGACCAGAGAUAGACUUGAGCCUGCCUGCCUGCCUUCUGCAGCCUCCAUUGCAGCAAGAUGCUACAUUUUGUCAGAGGGAAUAUCCACCAAAAAUCAGGUUGGUGUGAGUACCUCGAGCUCACCUGCUUGGAAGUCAGAGAGGGUUAUAGCUGGGCAGUGUGAGCUGGGAUGUGUCUCUCUGUACCAAGCCCUGGGCAACUGUUCCCAUUGCUGAAGCCCAGCCACCUGCACCCACCCUGUCUACACUCUUAGACUGAGUGUUGAGGUUGAGGCUGCUUCAGAUCUGAGUCCAUCAUAGUGGCAAGCGACAGUCUGUGCACACCGAGGGGCAUGCAGACAGAAUGCAUGCACAGCUGGGCCUGGUAUCAGCAUACCUAGGAAGAUAGGCAUGCUCACUCUGCCUGCACAUGCAGCCAGCUUCAGACUCUGACACUGAAUUGGAAUUUUAACCAGGGUGUGUAUGUGUGCACACAUACAUCACACUUGUGUUGUUCUGUCCAGGGGUACCAAAUUAUCAUCAUGAUCACAGACAGAACUAAUCAAUAACUCUCAGUCAUAUGAUGUCCAUUCAGAUCAAGCACAUGCUUUCCGUGUGACAAGAAAACAAAUACUGAUGGCAUUCUCUAGAGGACAACUGACAGUUGUUUGAAAUAGGGGAGGAACAAAGCUACUUAAACACAUUCCUAGGGCUAUUUUCAAGGGGUUAGAGGUGGUCCCACACCCCACCUGAUAGCCAAAGAUUCUCAAAUUCCUGCUUUCUGGAGUAGAUAGGAGCUAGCUCACAGAUAGCACACAGAUAACCCAGGGCUAGGCCCUGUGUCCCAUGGAAUGAAGACAGUAAGGUUUCUGAGCUACCCUUUGAGUUGCUGUAAAGAUCAGACAGAACCUUGUUCCUAGAAAUACACAAAGACUUGAGUUACCAAUGUGAGUGAAGGACUGGUCAAAUACAACAAUGUGUUGUUGAAGCAGAGUAUGCCAGCCAGGCACCCAGCUCUAUGAAUGGCUACUUAAUCUGCAUAGCACCAUAUUCCCUGAACCUUAAGCAAUGGGCCUUUCAGUCAGCCUAUAGAGACCUCCCUUUUUUCUUGACCCAUUUCACUGAGAUUUUCUACAGAAUUCUCCUAUGGCUUCCCCAAAAGAGCAUGUAUGGCUGGCUUUGGACCCAGGCUCAUUGGGUUGGGGAGGGCUCUAAAAGGUCCUGAAGCUCUUAUCAAAUAAGAUGUGCUCAGAAAAAAGUGUUCUUGCUCUGAAGAAGCCAUAGAGUAUACUCCCCAGCCUAGCCUCUUUGUAUCCCCACUAGCAGAACCAAAAGAGUAAAAAGUAGGUACACAUAACCACUUGCUGAUAAAGCUUAUAAAGCAAAGUAAUGAGGCAGAGACACAGCACCAUGACAUGACAUAGAAACAGAAAAGCCUGGGACAAACAAAGACGGAACAGCUUUCCGGCCAGUGCUAGUAGCACCUAAUUUGAAUCAAUUAACCCGAAACUGAAGAGACCCAUGGGAACACUCCUUACAGGGGAGCCCUGACACAUGAUAGUAAAGCAGCCAGCUAGCUAAGUUCUGGAAGCUGAUUUCUCCUUACUAUAUUUCCCAGCAUCUAAGUAUGGCAGGCAAAUUCACUAGAGAUGUGUCUACUUGGAUCUGUUUGGGACAACUAUGUUCCCUAUACUCAGCCAGUGAGGCAGGUUGAUUACUAUCUCUUUAAGUGUCUACCAUUAGCCUUGGAAGCAUAGGCAGGCAUAAGAAAAGAGAAAGGAAAGGCCAAUAAUAGGGAAGGAGGCAAGUGCAUGGGUCUCAAAGCUCCCCAGACCUCAUGGGUAACAGCCUCUCUCAGUGAACUAAAGAGACAUUGUAUGAGAGAUAAGUUACAAGCUGGAAGGAUGCUGAGCCUCUGUCCCUUAACUUUCUUCCCUACACUCAUCUAGCGGAGGCAAGUUGUUUACAGUACCUUUAAAGUCACUGGUCUUGAGUCCCUGUCCUGGUUGGCUUGCUUGCUUCCUUUCUUUAUCAGCUUGAAACAAGCUAAGGCCACCUGGGAAAAGGAACCCCAGUUGGGAAAAAUGCCUCCACCAGAUUGCCUGUAGGAAAUCUGAAGAACACGUUCUUGAUUAAUGAUUGAUAUGGGAGGGGCCCAGCCCACUGUGGACAGCACCACCCCCAGUCCCAGGAAAGGUGGUGCUGGGUGGUAUAAAGAAGCAAGCUGUUUAAGACAUGAGGAGUAAACUAAGUAGUAUUCCAUCAUUGUCUCUGUUUCGGUUCCUGUCUCUAGGUUCCUGCCCUUCUUGAGUUCCUGCCUUAACUUCUCUUGGUGAUGUACUAUAAUAAGGAUGUAUAAGGCAAAUAAACUGUGUCCUUCCCAAACUGUUUUUGGUCAAUGCCUCCCACCCCAAAGGGUUUCUCUGUGUGGCCUUGGUGGUCCUGGAGCUUACUCUGCAAACCAAGCUGGCCUUGAACUCAGAGAUUUGCCUGUCUCUGCCUACUGAGUGCUGGGAAGUAAAUGUUUAUCACAGGAAUAGGAACCAAACUAAGACAGUGUUUAAUAGUGUAAGAUAGUAUCUAGAAAUCUUUUCCUGUUGUGUGAGUUUAACAUUCAAGUUUCAUGAAGGGGGUAGUGGGGAAGGCUAGGUUUGGGGACAGAGUGGGAGUAAUCAGGGAGUACCCUAGAUGAGGGAUAGCUCAGGCUAGAGAAUGGCUAGUGAGCAGAAACAGAGUGGGCUGGGAGGGACAGAAGCAUCAAGACUUGGAAUUGUAGGCUAGGGGUAUGGAGGAUAGAGAGGACUAGGAGGAGGGACUAACAGAGAAUGGAGAAAAACUUUAGGAAGGAUUCCAGGAGAGAGGAAGACAGUGGGCUCAUGGAAGAGCAAUCUUAACAAUGCUCAGACUAACAUGGCACAGCCAGAGUGUUCCACAUAUGGCACAAGCAGGACUGCAAGCAGGUGGUGUGGCCAAGAGGUCUGCUCAGCUCGGCAAACAAGAGAAAUAUUCCCCUUAGGAAUGUCAAAGAGAACUGUCAUCUUAAACUGAAUUACCAGGGACUCCAAGAAAUAUACACAUUUUAAUGACCUUGUUUCUUCCAAGGAAACAAGUAAAAGGUCCUGCAAAUGAGAAAGGGCAGACAGUAAGCUGUGCUCAUAGUCGACUUUGAGCUGACAGAAGCUGGGUGUGUGGCCUGUAUAAGCUGCCAGGGUCAUCCUUCAAGGCCCAUGCACUGAGACUUGGACAAGAUCACCUUUGCACAUCCAGGACAGCCAGCAGGUACUCUUAUUCCAGGGGGUAAAUGGCCUUUCCCAAAAAACUGACUACUUCCCAUACUGAGUAUGAAAAUGCCUGUAAGUGGGAGGCUUACAGGAAAGACAGGCUGGCUUGGGGGAAAGUACUGUAGGAAAACUGCCACACACUCAGAUGGUGUACAGGUACAGCCUGACCAUGGAGAACUGCAAGCACAAGGAGCCAGAUGAACGCAUCCCACUGGUCCUUGAUGUCAUUUGGGAAUCCCAAAGUCUGGGCAUUUCAGUGUUGAGUUUCUGCCUCUCUCCUAUGGUGAUCACUAUCCUGACUCUGUGAGUACAAGCCUGUGACCUUCUCAUGGAACAGCACUGAGAGAAGCUGCCUACUUUCGUCAGCAGCAGCUAUUUAUCCCAGGCUUGUUUUUGUAGGUUCCCCCACCCAGCCAUUUCCAGAAAUGACUGUUCCUCUCUUCCUGACCCUUCUGUGACAGAAUAAACAAGACAUCUUUUGCCCAAACACCACAGGGCAAAACAAAAACAGGAAGAGAAAGCAGGCACACUAAAGCUUUAGAUGUAAAAUUAUCAGUGUUUUUAGAAGAAGAUAGAUUUAAAAUGUUAAGUUUUAAAGAACUUUAAACUUGUAUGCUAUUUUGUUUCGCUUUAGCACAUGCAGACUUCUGUUAACACCUCUUUACUCAGACUCCAAUAGCCUCUGACUCUUGUUGCUGAUCAGGGUGGAUGUCUGACUCUAUAUGCCAAGUGCACUGAUGUUUCAGGGGUUCACACUUGGUGCUUUUAUAUUUGCCAAUGUAAGUUCAAAUUUACAAAAAGAAGGAGGCUAGACCACCUUUCUUGGAGGUAAGUAGAUGACAAGAAAAUGACAACAACACUUUGUUCUUUAUGUUUGUUCUGACUACAGAACUUGUAUUUCCAUUGCUCACAUCCAUGAUAAUGAGGAUGCCACUGGAAACAUACCCCAUAAGUGAACAUCCACACAACAAUCAACACAGACACACAGCACAUCUGGCACACAGCACAUCUGGCACACACUGGCAGUGCUGUCUGUGUGGGGGAUCUAGAGCACUACUCUUGGCGCUCUGACCUUUGGGUUGGUGGCACUGAAUGAGGAAGAUCAUCAAAUAUCAAAUGCAGAUGUGUCCCCCAUUCUGUCAUUCUCCUCUAGUCCUGCACCUAGUCACAGGCCACAGGACAUCAGGCAUCACUAUGGGUACAGCAGCAGCAGUGUGGCAAUGAGCCAAGUCUUCAAACUAGAUAGGUGCAUCCACCUUCCCCCACCAACCACACUCAACACUGCCCAACACUGUUAUUCUCCCUAUAUGCUACUUACUUUGCACUGUCUUCUGUCCCAAUCUGGUACAGGAGAGAAGCCAUUAGCCAUAUCCCUGACCUGCAGGCUUGCUCCUUCAACACCUCCCGAUUGCAGUGCUAGAGAUGGAAGGGAAGUAAGUAGUGCAUGAUGCCUGAUGCUUGGUGGGUGGGACAACUUGUAAUUGCUAACCAUGCCAGAUCAGACACAUCCAUGCAAUCUAUGACAAGAAGACUUAAGGAACCUGGGAAAGAAUGGGUACUAUGACCAGUAGCUGAGUUGCACCCAUGGAGUUGUCUCCUUUGUUUCUCAUGACAACAUCAUGAAUUACUCAGGUUCCUGUCUUAAAAGAAAUAAAGCCUGAGAAAGAUUUGGAAACUUGCCUGAAGUCACACAGCCAUAAAGUAGUAGAUCCGGAAUCCAAGCCCAGGUCUGUCUGCUACAUAUAGCAACAAUGACAAAAGUCCUGACAACAGUGCUAACAGCCGCAGAUUAAAAUAGCAGCUAGCAUUUAUGAGUACUUCCUCUGUCCCAGGCCCUCAGAGCAGCCUAGGAUGAGCUCUGUUCUCUCCAGGAAGUCUUUGUUCACUCAGCUUUCUCGCCUGAAGACAAGAUUAGAGGGUGCCUGAGCAGCAUAUCCAUAUAGUCCCCAAACCAGAAAAGAAACAAGAGGUCUUGGGGCCCGAGCACCAGCUCUAGCUCCUUCAGUAGCACUAGUCAGGCUUUGCCUGUUACCCCUGGGGUAGUCCUCUCCAGCUUUCUACAUAGGACAAAGCAGAUGCAUGAUGACUUUGGGAAACUGGCUGGUUAAAGUUUUGGACUACUGACUUCAGGUUUUAACUGAAGUCUGAGCAGCACAGAAGAGUGUGUGUGUGUGUGUGUGUGUGUGUGUGUGUGUGUGUGUGUGUGUGUGUGUGGUGUAUAUGACUCUCCAGGAGGCUGAAGUUGGGUCCCUGUGAUCCAGAGCUCAGAGAAAAGCCGAAUGAUAUGGAGUCAAGACUUGUUAAAAAGGAAGGACUUGUCUGAGGGGGUAACACAGAGCUUGGCCAGCAAGGACGUCUGGUACAUAACAGAGAGUUAUAUUAUGGAAGCAUAGGAAGCUACUACCAUUGCCAGGACCCCACUCCAGUAGCCAUCCUUCUCCACAAAUGAGUGACAGGGAGUGCUAGCUUCAACCUGCAUUAUUCAUGAAUGGAGAGACUUUGGAAAUAAAGUGGCUGACCUCCAUCAGCCAUCAGCCUUCAUCAUUUCCCUGACUGCCCUGUGCUCCACAUGUGGGCCUACCUCUCCGCCUGAGCACCUCUGUAGGCCACCUCAGAACCCAGACCCACACUAUUCCUAGAGGAAAGCUAUAGGGGUUAAGUGAAGGUAGGUAGAUGGAUGCAUUAGCUUCAAGUCCUCAUCUCCCCCACAAAACAGCACAGAACUCCGUUUUGAAUUCUUAGUCUACAAUAUUUUUUUUUUUUUUUUUUUUUUUUUUUUUUUGGUUUUUGGUUUUUCGAAACAGGGUUUCUCUGUAUAGCCCUAGCUGUCCUGGAACUCACUCUGUAGACCAGGCUGACCUCGAACUCAGAAAUUCACCUGCCUCUGCCUCCCAAGUGCUGGGAUCUAAGGCGUGUGCCACCACGCCCGGCUUUAGUCUACAAUUCUUAAAUCUGCCUACAAAAGCAUUUUCCUUAAAUCCCUUUCCACUUAUGAAUACCAGCCAUGUGAUUGGUGGGGAACACAGUAGCCAAUAGCACAGACACAGUGCUGCAGCUCACAUGGGGUGUGGAUUACACCAUCUCAGCUUUGUAUACUUUGGCUUCAGUAUUCACUGUGCUUAACUGCCUUGUAGCAACCCCCAGGAACACUAAAGCCCAUUUAGUCUUCACACACACUCAUCUCCAAAGAGUGCAGUCAAGUUAAAGGGACAAAAGCAGCUCUAAUCUUAGGGACUCCUGCUUUUUCUAUGCUCUGCUCGAGAAGGCUCUGUGCAGCUUCUUACAGGGGAUGGAGUCCUAUAUGCUUCCAGCUUCUAGUUCCUAAUAACACUUAUGCUGGUCAGCAUCAUCCUGCUAGCCCUUAUUCCUGAUUCUUGGACCACCUACCAAAGAGACCACCUGAACACAAACCUCUGUUUGUUUAGGGGUCUGCUAAUGGGAACCCAAACAAAGAAAAUGGUUCCUUAAUGUCACCCUCUCAGCUUUUAUCUAGUACCACGGGUACCCCCAAAACACUGAUUCCCCUAUGAAGCACAAGCUAUGCUUGGCUUGUUUGUUCUCAGUUACCCUCCUUGACAACUCCAUGUGAGGCAGCAGCUGAUGGGGACAGAGAAGAGUUACCAUGCACCCUAUCUGGCAGAGUGGUGAGCUAGAAGGGACUGAGGGCAGCAGAGACUUGCUGCCGUGGGGUAGACUUGACAUAGUGGCCCCAAACACCUGAGAGAAUGGGAAAAGUGACUGGAGGGCAGCACAAGCCACUCCUCAGUUUAUUCAGAGAGAGGAGUGGGACCAGGGAGCUCAUCCCACUUCAGGUUAGAGACCGUCCUUGCAUAGCUGAGGGUACUCCUACUCAUGUCUUGAAAGGUCAGCACAAAACACAGUGCCUGGCACAUACUUGGAAAUAAAAAAAAUUGCUUGUACAAUGCCUGAAUGGGAAUUAUGGCCCCCAUCACAGCUGGGGCCAUGGAGAGUGACCUGGAGCUAUCAACAGGAGAUCUCUUAUCUACUGAAAUUAUACUAAAGUCACAUACAGUACUAUCUCCUCUGCUGGGCAUCUGCUUUCUUAUUCCUACCUCAUUCCAAACAUCCUCCUCUGAAUCAUCCACCCCCUCAGUCUGCCAACCCUCAUGACCUCUCCCACCACACUCAACAACUACCUUAUAGUCCCACAUCCCCACAGCGCCGCCCCCCCCCCCUUGCAGGAGAGGUGUGUGGCUAUGAGUCAUGUAGGAGCAGCACCAAGCCUUCCCACAUGCAAAUAAGGUUUCCCCCAAACUCUCAGUCCAAGCCAAUUAGAGGUACCUGUUGUAGAACCCUGAAUUACCCCCAAAACUGUAUAUAAAUCCAUCCAGAGAAUUAAAGGUGUUCGAGAACUA